rnacentral:rRNA from 1 species
UACGUAGGGGGCAAGCGUUGCCCGGAAUCAUUGGGCGUAAAGAGCGUGUAGGCGGCCAGAUAAGUCCGCUGUGAAAUCUCGAGGCUCAACUUCGAGCUGUCGGUGGAAACUGUCUGGCUAGAGUCCGGAAGAGGAGAAUGGAAUUCCUGGUGUAGCGGUGAAAUGCGCAGAUAUCAGGAAGAACACCCGUGGCGAAGGCGGUUCUCUGGGACGGUACUGACGCUGAGACGCGAAAGCGUGGGGAGCGAACAGG